ACUGCUUAAUUAAAACAAAGCAUCAUAAAGGCUCACAUCAGGUGUUGAUGUGAUGUGAUUUCUGCCCAGUGCUCUGAAUGUCAAAGUGAAAAAAAUCAAUGAAGCACAGGUAAACGGCAGGAGUAGCUAUGACUCUCUUAAGAAGGGAUUAU
rnacentral:ncRNA from 1 species